rnacentral:rRNA from 1 species
AUAAAAAACCAACGCCCUUCGGGGCUCCUUGGUGAAUCAUAAUAACUUAACGAAUCGCAUGGCCUUGCGCCGGCGAUGGUUCAUUCAAAUUUCUGCCCUAUCAACUUUCGAUGGUAGGAUAGUGGCCUACCAUGGUGG